rnacentral:ncRNA from 1 species
GGUCGGGUGUGUGGCUAAUAAAAUACCCGCAAGGGGAAUAUGCCCGCCAUCUUCUACUGGUUUUGAGCACCCGACCGCCCUCUC